CGAUAUUGUUUUGAUUUAGGUUAUUUGAAUGACAAAACCUGGGUAGACUUCCGCAAUAACUAUCAGGAUAUUGCGAAAAUGCUAAAGGGUUUGCACAAAAGCUGGAGUUAAUUUUUAUCUUUCUGUCCUCAGUCUUCUGCCAUCUGUCUUCUGAUGGGUAGAGGAGCGUUCUGUAAGCCUGUGAAGGUGAAUCGAGAGGUUUGCUGGAGGCAUCAGAAGUGCGAAUGCUGACAUAAGUAACGAUAAUGUGGGUGAAAAACCCACACGCCGAAAGUCUAAGGUUUCCUGCGCAACGUUAAUCGGCGCAGGGUGAGUCGGCCCCUAAGGCGAGGCAGAAAUGCGUAGUCGAUGGGAAACGGGUUAAUAUUCCCGUACUUUACAAUACUGCGAUGGGAGGACGGAGAAGGCUAGGUCAGCCACCCGAUGGUUGUGGUGGUUUAAGUGUGUAGGAAGGGUUCUUUGGCAAAUCCGGGAACUCAAUUCCGAGACAUGAUGACGAAGUACGAACUUGUUCGUGCAAAGUGAUUGAUGCCACGCUUCCAGGAAAAGUCCCUAAGCUUCAGGUAUUGUAAAACCGUACUAUAAACCGACACAGGUGGACAGGUAGAGAAUACCAAGGCGCUUGAGAGAACUUGGGUGAAGGAACUAGGCAAAAUGGCACCGUAACUUCGGGAGAAGGUGCGCCCUUGGUAAGUGAAGGUCCUUGCGACUGGAGCUGAAAAGGGUUGCAGAUACCAGGUGGCUGCGACUGUUUACUAAAAACACAGCACUCUGCAAACUCGUAAGAGGACGUAUAGGGUGUGACGCCUGCCCGGUGCCGGAAGGUUAAGUGAUGGGGUUAGCCCUCGGGCGAAGCUCUUGAUCGAAGCCCCGGUAAACGGCGGCCGUAACUAUAAAUUAACCGUUGUAGUUACGUAAAUAAACUUGGCUAUAUGCUGGAAACUCCGAGUAUCCUCCAGUACUCAUCUCAACUAAAAUUGAGGUAGUAAAAAUCUGCGAGGUGCGGACAAUCAGCAGGAAAGACUAAUCUUUUUGAUUAGAAUCCUCAGAGACUAAUACGCCGAGCGUACUUAGAAAAAAUCCAUUCUAAGUGUGAUGAUAGAGUCCGAUCUCUAUAGCGAUAUAGAGGGUUUUCAAAAGAAACCUGUUAAUCAUUAUCCCAUGAUUAACAUAACGUCAAUAAACGGUCCUAAGGUAGCGAAAUUCCUUGUCGGGUAAAAAAUUGCCCCGCUAAACUGUAAAGUUUAGUGAUAAAGUCAGCUCAUAUCGGGGGAACCCUCCUGCUUUUUAGCAAAGGGCAAUCCCGAGGGAAGUCUUAAAUGACCCCGUAACGACUGAUCCGAAAGGUGAGGCACGCAUUUGUGUGCAAUACGCUGACUUCUUGCCCUUGGGUUUAUACUCAAGAAGUAAGUGACUAUGGAGAAUUUAUUUAUGUAUUUACAUUUAGAGCCAUGGUAUGUAAGUGGUUUAACAGAAGGAGAAGGGUGUUUUUCGAUAUCAUUUAACUUCAGAAAAAAGUUAAAAAUUGGUAUUGAAACAAGACCAUCUUUUUCCAUCACGUUAAAUCAAAGAGAUUUACCUCUCUUAAAAGAGAUACAUUCGUUUUUUGAAUGUGGAGUAAUUAGAUUUUCACGAGGGGAUCGUACGUAUAAAUAUGAAGUCCGUUCCGUAAAAGAUCUUGUGAAGCGAAUAAUUCCACACUUCGAUAACUAUCCUCUUAGAGGAGGUAAACAAAAAGAUUUUCGAUAUUUUUCUGAAAUCUGUAAAAAAAUACAUACCAAUUUUCAUUUAAAUAAACAACAUUUAAUUGAAAUAAUAAAAAUGGCUUAUCUGAUGAAUCCAUCAGGUAAACGUAGGCAUGAAAUAAAUGAUCUCCUAAGGUUGCUUGGUGAGAAAAUGGUAUAGUCUACUCCCUAUGGAAACAUAGGAAAGAGUGAAGUUCCGACCUGCACGAAUGGCGUAACGAUAGCCACGCUGUCUCCACCCAAGACUCAGUGAAAUUGAAAUCGCUGUGAAGAUGCAGCGUACCCGCGGCUAGACGGAAAGACCCCGUGAACCUUUACUACAGCUUUACACUGAACUUUGAAUAUGCCUGUGUAGGAUAGGUGGGAGGCUUUGAAGCUGGAGCGCUAGCUCCAGUGGAGCCAACCUUGAAAUACCACCCUGGCGUGUUUGAGGUUCUAACCCUGUCCCGUAAUCCGGGUCGGGAACAGUGUAUGGUGGGUAGUUUGACUGGGGCGGUCUCCUCCAAAAGAGUAACGGAGGAGUACAAAGGUACCCUCAGCACGGUCGGAAAUCGUGCAUUGUGUGCAAAGGCAUAAGGGUGCUUGACUGCGAGACUGACAAGUCGAGCAGGUACGAAAGUAGGUCUUAGUGAUCCGGUGGUCCUUUAUGGAAGGGCCAUCGCUCAACGGAUAAAAGGUACUCCGGGGAUAACAGGCUGAUACCACCCAAGAGUUCAUAUCGACGGUGGUGUUUGGCACCUCGAUGUCGGCUCAUCACAUCCUGGGGCUGUAGCCGGUCCCAAGGGUAUGGCUGUUCGCCAUUUAAAGUGGUACGUGAGCUGGGUUUAGAACGUCGUGAGACAGUUCGGUCCCUAUCUGCCGUGGGCGUUGGAGAUUUGAGAGGAGCUGCUCCUAGUACGAGAGGACCGGAGUGGACGUACCUCUGGUGUUCCGGUUGUCACGCCAGUGGCAUUGCCGGGUAGCUAAGUACGGACGGGAUAACCGCUGAAAGCAUCUAAGCGGGAAGCCCCCCUCAAGAUGAGAUCUCCCGGACCUUUAAGGUCCCUAAAGAUUCGUUGAAGACGACAACGUUGAUAGGCAGGGUGUGGAAGCUCAGUAAUGAGUGAAGCUAACCUGUACUAAUUAAUCGUGCGACUUGACUAU
rnacentral:rRNA from 1 species